rnacentral:rRNA from 1 species
GACGAACGCUGGCGGCGUGCUUAACACAUGCAAGUCGAACGAAGGGCGACGGAGGCUUGCUUCUUUCAAUCUUAGUGGCGAACGGGUGAGUAACGCGUAAUCCACCUGCACUUCAGUGGGGGACAACAGUUGGAAACGACUUCUAAUACCGCAUACGAUCUAACCUCGGGAUCGAGGAUAGAUGAACGGUGGCGUCGACAUGUAAGCUAUCAUUGACGGUGGGGAUUGCGUUUGAUUAGCUAGUGGGAGGGGUAGCGGCCCACCAAGGCGAUGAUCAGGAGCCGGUCUGAGAAGAGGGACGGCCACACUGGGACUGAGGCACGGCCCAGAAGCCUACGGGAGGCAGCAGUGGGGAAUCUUCCGCAAUGGACGGAAGACUGACGGAGCAACGCCGCGUGGGUGAUGACGGCCUUCGGGUUGUAAAGCUCUGUUAAUCGGGACGAAAGGCCUUCUUGCGAAUAGUGAGAAGGAUUGACGGUACCGGAAUAGAAAGCCACGGCUAACUACGUG